ACGGGAGGCAGCAGUGGGGAAUAUUGCACAAUGGGCGCAAGCCUGAUGCAGCAACGCCGCGUGAGGGAAGACGGUCUUCGGAUUGUAAACCUCUGUCCUUGGUGACGAAGAAUGACGGUAGCCGAGGAGGAAGCCACGGCUAACUACGUGCCAGCAGCCGCGGUAAUACGUAGGGAGCAAGCGUUAUCCGGAUUUACUGGGUGUAAAGGGCGUGUAGGCGGGACAUCAAGUCAGAUGUGAAAGCACGAGGCUCAACUUCGUGUCUGCAUUUGAAACUGACGUUCUUGAGUGUUGGAGAGGCUAACGGAACUCCUAGUGUAGCGGUGAAAUGCGUAGAUAUUAGGAAGAACACCAGUGGCGAAGGCGGUUAGCUGGACAAUAACUGACGCUGAGGCGCGAAAGCGUGGGUAGCAAACAGGAUUAGAUACCCUGGUA
rnacentral:rRNA from 1 species